rnacentral:rRNA from 1 species
GUGGGGAAUAUUGCACAAUGGGGGAAACCCUGAUGCAGCGACGCCGCGUGAAGGAAGAAGUAUCUCGGUAUGUAAACUUCUAUCAGCAGGGAAGAUAAUGACGGUACCUGACUAAGAAGCCCCGGCUAACUACGUGCCAGCAGCCGCGGUAAUACGUAGGGGGCAAGCGUUAUCCGGAUUUACUGGGUGUAAAGGGAGCGUAGGCGGCGGAGCAAGUCAGAAGUGAAAGCCCGGGGCUCAACCCCGGGACGGCUUUUGAAACUGCCCUGCUUGAUUUCAGGAGAGGUAAGCGGAAUUCCUAGUGUAGCGGUGAAAUGCGUAGAUAUUAGGAGGAACACCAGUGGCGAAGGCGGCUUACUGGACUGACAAUGACGCUGAGGCUCGAAAGCGUGGGGAGCAAACAGGAUUAGAAACCCUAGUAGUCC